GAUGAAGAACGUAGCGAAAUGCGAUAACUAAUGUGAAUUGAAGAAUUCAGUGAAUCAUCGAGUCUUUGAACGCACAUUGCGCCCCCUGGUAUUCCGGGGGGCAUGCCUGUCCGAGCGUCAUUGCCGCCCUCAAGCACGGCUUGUGUGUUGGGCUCCGUCCCCCCGGGGACGGGCCCGAAAGGCAGCGGCGGCACCGAGUCCGGUCCUCGAGCGUAUGGGGCUUUGUCACCCGCUCUGUAGGCCCGGCCGGCGCCAGCCGACCACCCAUCAUCCUUUUCAGGUUGACCUCGGAUCAGGUAGGGAUACCCGCUGAACUUAAGCAUAUCAAUAAGCGGAGGA
rnacentral:misc_RNA from 1 species